AUUAAGCCAUGCAUGUCUAAGCAUAGCUGGCAACAGUGAAGCCGCGAAUAGCUCAUUACAACAGCCGUUGUUUCUUGGAUCUACUCUCUACUUGGAUAACUGUGGUAAUUCUAGAGCUAAUACAUGCAUCAAGACCCGACGCAAGGACGGUCGCAUUUAUUACAACAAAACCAUCCGGUCCUCGGACCGUUCCUUGGUGACUCUGAAUAACUGAGCAAAUCGCACGGUCUCGCACCGGCGAUGUAUCUUUCAAGUGUCUGCCUUAUCAACUUUCGAUGGUAGUUUAUGUGCCUACCAUGGUUGUAACGGGUAACGGAGAAUCAGGGUUUGACUCCGGAGAGGGAGCCUGAGAAACGGCUACCACUUCUAAGGAAGGCAGCAGGCGCGCAAAUUACCCAUUCUCGGUACGAGGAGGUAGUGACGACCAAUACCAAGCCGGGGCUCUUAUGAGUUUCGGCAUUGGAAUGAGAACAAUCCAAAUCUUUUAACGAGGAACUAGUGGAGGGCAAGUCUGGUGCCAGCAGCCGCGGUAAUUCCAGCUCCGCAAAAGUAUAUCGAUAUUGCUGUGGUUAAAAAGCUCGUAGUUGGAUCUGCGUGUCCAGCACCCGGUGCGGUCUUUGACCGUUACUGGCAUGCGACACAUGACUGUCGGGUGGCGGCGGAUGCUCUUCAUCGGGUGUCCGUCGUGUCCGGCGAGUUUACUUUGAACAAACUAGAGUGCUCAACACAGGCGUUUCGCUUGAAUAUUUCUGCAUGGAAUAAUGGAAUAGGACCUCGGUUCUAUUUUGUUGGUUUUCGGAAGUGAGGUAAUGAUUAAGAGGGACUGACGGGGGCAUUCGUACUGCGACGUGAGAGGUGAAAUUCUUGGAUCGUCGCAAGACGCACUACUGCGAAGGCAUUUGCCAAGAAUGUUUUCAUUAAUCAAGAACGUAAGUAACGGGUUCGAAGGCGAUCAGAUACCGCCCUAGUCGUUACCGUAAACUAUAGCGACAGGGAGGUUGCACGUGUUUUCGAUGACCGUGUAACAACCCAACCUGAAAAGAAGUCUUUGGCUUCCAGGGGGAAUAUGCGUCGCAAGUCUGAAACUUAAAGGAAUUGACGGAAGGGCACCACCAGGGGUGGAGCCUGCGGCUUAAUUUGACUCAACACGGGGAAACUCACCAGGUCCAGACAUAGUAAGGAUUGACAGAUUGAUAGCUCUUUCUUGAUUCUAUGGGUGGUGGUGCAUGGCCGUUCUUAGUUGGUGGAGUGAUUUGUCUGGUUAAUUCCGAUAACGAACGAGACCUUAACCUGCUAAAUAGUUACAUUAACAUUUGUUGAUGCGAACUUCUUAGAGGGACUGACUACGUUUAGUGGUCGGAAGUUUGAGGCAAUAACAGGUCUGUGAUGCCCUUAGAUGUUCUGGGCCGCACGCGCGCUACACUGAUAAAGGCAGCGAGUAUACAACCUUGACCGAAAGGUCUGGGUAAUCUUCUGAAUCUUUAUCGUGAUGGGGAUAGACCAUUGCAAUUAUUGGUCUUGAACGAGGAAUUCCUAGUAAGCGCAAGUCAUCAGCUUGCGUUGAUUACGUCCCUGCCCUUUGUACACACCGCCCGUCGGUACUACCGAUUGAAUGGCUUAGUGAGGCCUUCGGAUUGUUCUUAAGAGCUUGCAAAAGCUUUCAGGAGUGAGAAGUUGGACAA
rnacentral:rRNA from 1 species